UAGCCCAGUGGGACCAUGGAAGGAAGGAAGGAAGGUAUUAGGCUUGCUAGUAGUGGUGGAGCCCUCAAAACUGAAGGUGUGUUCAUGUUUCUUCAGGAGCCCUCCCUGUACACUGUCAAGGCCAUCCUGAUUCUGGACAAUGAUGGAGAUCGACUCUUUGCUAAGUACUAUGACGACACCUACCCUAGUGUCAAGGAGCAAAAGGCCUUUGAGAAGAACAUUUUCAACAAGACCCAUCGGACAGAUAGUGAAAUUGCCCUGUUGGAAGGGCUGACAGUGGUCUAUAAAAGUAGCAUCGAUCUCUAUUUCUAUGUGAUUGGCAGCUCCUAUGAAAACGAGUUGAUGCUUAUGGCUGUUCUGAAUUGCCUCUUUGACUCCUUGAGCCAGAUGCUGAGGAAAAAUGUAGAAAAGCGAGCUCUGUUGGAGAAUAUGGAGGGGCUCUUCUUGGCUGUGGAUGAAAUUGUAGAUGGAGGGGUGAUCCUAGAGAGUGACCCCCAGCAAGUGGUGCACCGGGUGGCUUUGAGGGGUGAAGAUGUCCCCCUUACAGAGCAGACCGUGUCUCAGGUAUACCUCUUCUCUCUUCAUCCCCCCAGUGGAUUUGAAUUCGGGGGGAAUUUCCCAAACUGACAAUCCUCUAGGGCCUUAGAGAGCUUCCUCCUAUUCUUCCACCCUUGGGAUUUUCUAUCCCCAGUUCUUCUAAGGAGAGGGAAGGUGCUACAGUCAGCAAAAGAACAGAUCAAGUGGUCCCUCCUUCGGUGAAGAUGCUCUGUGCCCAGUUCCUUGCCCCUCAAAACCCCACAUCUGCUGUGACUUCCUAUCCAGGCCCCCAACAGAUGCUCUUAGGGUCAUCUUGGAAUCACAGUGGACCCUUGCACCUCCAUCCUUCCUAGGGUCCCCUCUCCUUCCUUCCCUCUCAAGGGCAGAUUGGAAAGAGGCAGGGGAAACACCCUCUUCCUACUACACUGGUCCUCCUACCCCCACAUUGUCUCCUGGUUCCUUGGCCCUUUUCUAUGGCUUACUUAAGAUCAAAGCAGGAGAAAGAAUGUGCUGAGUGUUUUCCUCCCUGUGCCUUAAGGGCUCUCAUCCCAGCAGCCCAUAUGUCCAGCAAAGGGGAGGACUCCUUCCUUCAGCACAAGUGGGUAUGGAGUGGCAGGGGCUGUGCAUCUUUGCCUCACAGCAGCUUCUCUCCUUCCUGCUGCCCUGUCCUCUGCCUUUGGAAGAGGAACAGCUCAUAGGAGGGGGACAGAUCUGCAGAGGAACAGUGACUUAAAUGCUGUCAGAGCUUAUGCAGUGCAGUCUCUACCAUGAUCUGGCCCUUCAGCUUCAAAGCUGCUGUGCCUGCACAUGAGAACAUCCUACUCUAGGUCUGUACCACACCUCUGCCUGCAUCACCUGUGAGGUCUUUGGUACUCUGGAGCAAAGCCAGACCUUGGAACUAAAACUACAGUAGUCUCCAGAAGAGUUUCUAGAAACUCAGAACCUGGGAAGGGGCCUUAAUGACUUGGGCCUCGCCGUGUUCCUUCUCAGCUCUUCCACUCACAUUCCACUGCCUUGGUUCUGCAAUCUGCUGUUGAGGUCCCCCGUCUCGUCCCCACCCCCACCUCCCCUUCCCUGGAAGCGGGGGUCUGGUGCAGCCCCUUUCCUCCAGGGCUUGGAUUCCCGUUCUUGGGUGUAAUGUUGCCCCUUGACCCUACAUCUCUGUGAAAAUAUCUUAGAAAAAACGCUCCAGAGCAAGAAUUCUGCCUUCUGCGUUGGCUGAAGUGGGCAGCCUCUGCAAGAAAUGGAGUCAGACGAAGUCCACCUUGUACGUUGCUGUGCGUCAGACGAAUAAAGUGCAUCUCUUCCAAACUG